AUGAAAGUGUUUUCUUCCUUUAAGUUGUUUGUAAUGAUAACUGAUUGGAUCGCAAUGAUGUCUUGCUCAACUGUGACACAGGAACAUGAAGCACAUGAAGAGCUCAAAAGAUUGCUGCCGGAUGGUACAGUUGCUACACAAGUUACACGCCACAAGAGACACGGCUCGCAGCUGGGGGUGUACAGCACCUGCUAUUGUGCAAAGGGAUCCCAUGCAUGGCACCCAUCAGGAAGAGACGAGUCGUCAGGGUCAGGGAAGUGGGACGCGCGUAUAUCGUCGCAUGCACGCCCGCGCACAAUCGCACAGGGGCACAGUGCCAAAUGCCCUAGUCGGCAUUAUUAG
rnacentral:rRNA from 1 species